rnacentral:rRNA from 1 species
CAGUCGCCGCGGUAAUACGAAGGGGGCUAGCGUUGUUCGGAUUUACUGGGCGUAAAGCGCACGUAGGCGGAUCGAUCAGUCAGGGGUGAAAUCCCAGAGCUCAACUCUGGAACUGCCUUUGAUACUGUCGAUCUGGAGUAUGGAAGAGGUGAGUGGAAUUCCGAGCGUAGAGGUGAAAUUCGUAGAUAUUCGGAGGAACACCAGUGGCGAAGGCGGCUCACUGGUCCAUUACUGACGCUGAGGUGCGAAAGCGUGGGGAGCAAACAGGUUUAGAUACCCCUGUAGUCCCUGUCUCUUAUAC